GACGAACGCUGGCGGCGUGCUUAACACAUGCAAGUCGAACGGAAAGGCCCUGCUUUUGUGGGGUGCUCGAGUGGCGAACGGGUGAGUAACACGUGAGUAACCUGCCCUUGACUUUGGGAUAACUUCAGGAAACUGGGGCAAAUACCGGAUAGGAGCUCCUGCUGCAUGGUGGUGGUUGGUAAGUUUCGGCGGUUGGGGAUGGACUCGCGGCUUAUCAGCUUGUUGGUGGGGUAGUGGCUUACCAAGGCUUUGACGGGUAGCCGGCCUGAGAGGGUGACCGGCCACAUUGGGACUGAGAUACGGCCCAGACUCCUACGGGAGGCAGCAGUGGGGAAUAGUGCACAAUGGGCGGAAGCCUGAUGCAGCAACGCCGCGUGCGGGAUGACGGCCUUCGGGUUGUAAACCGCUUUCGCCUGUGACGAAGCGUGAGUGACGGUAAUUGGUAAAAAAGCACCGGCUAACUACGUG
rnacentral:rRNA from 1 species